rnacentral:rRNA from 1 species
AACUAACGCUGGCGGCGUGCCUAACACAUGCAAGUCGAACGAGAAAGUUGGCUUCGGCCGAUGAGUAAAGUGGCGCACGGGUGAGUAACGCGUGGAUAAUCUGCCCUGGAGUGUGGAAUAACGUACCGAAAGGUGCGCUAAUACCGCAUCAUGCUGAGUGACUACUGUUGCUUAGCCAAAGAAGGCCUCUGUUUACAAGCUUUUGCUCUAGGAUGAGUCCGCGUACCAUUAGCUAGUUGGUAGGGUAAUGGCCUACCAAGGCGACGAUGGUUAGCUGGUCUGAGAGGAUGAUCAGCCACACUGGAACUGAGACACGGUCCAGACUCCUACGGGAGGCAGCAGUGAGGAAUAUUGCGCAAUGGGGGAAACCCUGACGCAGCAACGCCGCGUGAGUGAGGAAGGUUUUCGGACCGUAAAGCUCUGUCGAGCGGGAAGAAGUGCAUGGUGGCUAAUAUCCAUCGUGUUUGACGGUACCGCUAGAGGAAGCACCGGCUAACUCCGUGCCAGCAGCCGCGGUAAUACGGGGGGUGCAAGCGUUGUUCGGAAUUAUUGGGCGUAAAGAGCGUGUAGGCGGCUGGAUAAGUCAGAUGUGAAAGCCCUGGGCUUAACUCAGGAAGUGCAUUUGAAACUAUUCAGCUGGAGUAAGGGAGAGGAAAGUGGAAUUCCUGGUGUAGAGGUGAAAUUCGUAGAUAUCAGGAGGAACACCGGUGGCGAAGGCGACUUUCUGGCCCUAUACUGACGCUGAAACGCGA